rnacentral:tRNA from 1 species
UCCCUGGUGGUCCAGUGGUUAAGAUUUUGAACUUCCAAUAAAGGGGACACAGGUUCAAUCCCUGGUCAGGGAA